UUAAUGCCAAAUAUUCAAACUAUUGAUCCCCUAAGGAGAGGAACACAUUUGUAACGCUAAGACAUACAAACUAUGGAUCCCCUUUUUUAAAACAAAGGUGUGGAACUAGUAUGUGCGUGAGACGUCAACAUAAACACAAACACUCAUUUUUGUUUAAAACUUAUUAACUCAAAAGAGAAGGCCCGAGAGAAAGUGAGAGGACUGAUGAUAAAAAUGUGUGGGAGGAGAAUACCGAAAUAGAAGUUAUUGCGUCAUUCACAGCCUAUCAAAGAACACCAAGUGUCACCUGUGACCUUUAGGAUAUAAAAUAAGACACCUGAAACUGUAAGUUCAAAAUCAAAAAGUAAUGGCUGCCCCAAUAGAGUAUGUCCUCAUUGAGGUCCAUCCAUCUGAUGGUAAGUUGGGAAUGUGUAACCCUAUAGUUAUAACUAUAAUGCCUUUUGUUUUUGGUAAAUGAACUUGGUAAGUUGUUGGUACAUGUAUGUUUGUGUUGUACAUUAAAAGCAAAAAAUAAUUGUAUUUAUAGCAGAAAAAGAUGAAGUAAGGGUGAAAGAGACGAAAGGAGACAGAGGAGAGAGGACAGAGGAGAAGGGGGACAGAGACAAAGAGGAGGGUGGAGAUAGUCAAAAGAAGAAUGAUAAGAUUAAAAGGUUAAACAUACAACUAUACAUGACAUUGUUUUUAAUAGAAUCAAACGGCUUAAGUAUGUUUGUUUACAUGUGUAAUUGUGUUGUUGUGAAGUAGCUAUGAGAAGGACUAUUAAGCUAAAAAGCAAGAAGAAAGAAGGAAGGCCUUUAGACUUGGAACAGUUCAGGCCUGCUCUCCAAAGUAAACUUAAUUUUAAGUGUAAAUUAAAGGCUUUAUGCCAUUGUAAUUUAGGGCAGUUGGAACUCAUUGAAGAGGGCAGGAGGGAGAGGAUGGGGAGUAGUGAGGAGAUGGGAGAAGAAACAGAGACAGGGAAGAGACAGAGACAGGCGAGGAGACAGGGACAGGAGAAGAGACUGGGACAGGGACAGAGAGA